GCCGUGUGAGAGUGCCGUGUGUGAGUGAUGGGUGUGAGAGUGCCGUGUGUGAGAGUGCUGUGUGAGAUGGGUGUGAGAGAGUGCUCUGUGAGAGUGCUGUGAGUGUGAUGGGUGUGAGAGUGCUGUGAGAGAGUGCUGUGUGUGUGUGAGAGUGCUCUGUGAGAGUGCUGUGAGUGUGAUGGUGUGAGAGUGCUGUGUGAGAG